rnacentral:rRNA from 1 species
UCGAGCGAAGUUUUUCUGGUGCUUGCACCGGAAAAACUUAGCGGCCAACGGGUGAGUAACACGUAAAGAACCUGCCUCAUAGACUGGGACAACUAUUGGAAACGAUAGCUAAUACCGGAUAACAGCAUUAACUGCAUGGUUGAUGUUUAAAAGUUGGUUUUGCUAACACUAUGAGAUGGCUUUGCGGUGCAUUAGCUAGUUGGUGGGGUAAAGGCCUACCAAGGCGACGAUGCAUAGCCGACCUGAGAGGGUGAUCGGCCACACUGGGACUGAGACACGGCCCAGACUCCUACGGGAGGCAGCAGUAGGGAAUCUUCCGCAAUGGGCGAAAGCCUGACGGAGCAACGCCGCGUGAGUGAAGAAGGAUUUCGGUUCGUAAGGCUCUGUUGUUAGGGAAGAAUGAUUGUGUAGUAACUAUACACAGUAGAGACGGUACCUAACCAGAAAGCCACGGCUAACUACGUGCCAGCAGCCGCGGUAAUACGUAGGUGGCAAGCGUUGUCCGGAAUUAUUGGGCGUAAAGCGCGCGCAGGUGGUUUAAUAAGUCUGAUGUGAAAGCCCACGGCUCAACCGUGGAGGGUCAUUGGAAACUGUUAAACUUGAGUGCAGGAGAGAAAAGUGGAAUUCCUAGUGUAGCGGUGAAAUGCGUAGAGAUUAGGAAGAACACCAGUGGCGAAGGCGAUUCUCUGGACUGUAACUG